rnacentral:tRNA from 1 species
CGGUGCCCUCGCCGGACGGGCGGCCCAGCACGUUGUCGGCGUGCCCGUGGUAGGCGCCCUUGAAGGUGACGACGCGGUCCCGGCCGGUGGCGGCGC